rnacentral:ncRNA from 1 species
GGAGCAAAUGCCGAAAAGCUUUAAUAGAGUAGGCC